GAUGAACGCUGGCGGCGUGCCUAAUACAUGCCAGUCGAGCGAACAGACGAGGAGCUUGCUCCUCUGACGUUAGCGGCGGACGGGUGAGUAACACGUGGAUAACCUACCUAUAAGACUGGGAUAACUUCGGGAAACCGGAGCUAAUACCGGAUAAUAUAUUGAACCGCAUGGUUCAAUAGUGAAAGACGGUUUUGCUGUCACUUAUAGAUGGAUCCGCGCCGCAUUAGCUAGCUGGUAAGGUAACGGCUUACCAAGGCAACGAUGCGUAGCCGACCUGAGAGGGUGAUCGGCCACACUGGAACUGAGACACGGUCCAGACUCCUACGGGAGGCAGCAGUAGGGAAUCUUCCGCAAUGGGCGAAAGCUUGACGGAGCAACGCCGCGUGAGUGAUGAAGGUCUUCGGAUCGUAAUACUCUGUUAUUAGGGAAGAACAAAUGUGUAAGUAACUAUGCACGUCUUGACGGUACCUAAUCAGAAAGCCACGGCUAACUACGUG
rnacentral:rRNA from 1 species